GCGAGCUCCUGCCAGGCAGCGCAGCUGCGAGAGCUGCCAGCCUGCCCCAGUGCUCUAGACUGCGUGGCGGCGUGCCUGCCAGUUCUGGUGUUCUGAGCAGCAUGACAGAUUGGCAUCAGCACUAGGCCUACUUGAUGGGCCAUGAAGGGACAUCAACUGUACAAUGAACCCUACUGUUACGUAGGGGCAUGCAUCUGGACAGAACUCUAAGGUUUUUCCAUGCCAUGUGCUGGACAGCUUGUGUUUGGAGCAAAGGAAGUACAAGCCACAUAGCAAAAGGAAUAUAAAAGGCAACUGCAUCAUCUCCAUUUUGUCUUCAGCCCUGCUUCUUACUUCUGGAGUAAUCUUUCUACAAACGAAGCUCUGAACAAAGGACUGAAUGACCCAUCCAAGCUGUGGAUGUGUUCCAGAGGGACUUUCUUCAAGCCAACAAAUUCACCAAUAUUGCUAAGAACCUGAUACAUGGACUUCGAAUCGUUGUUUAUAUGUGAUUGCUUUACCAUUUAACUUCUCUCUUCUUGUUCUUUCUUUAUAAUAAACUUUUAGUUGUAGGCACUAAA